rnacentral:rRNA from 1 species
AGAGUUUGAUCAUGGCUCAGGAUGAACGCUGGCGGCGUGCCUAAUACAUGCAAGUCGAACGGGGUAGCAAUACCGAGUGGCGACCGGGUGCGUAACACGUAGCUGACCUGCCCUUCAGCGGGGAAUAACCGUCCGAAAGGAUGGCUAAUACCGCAUGGACUGCGAGUUUUUAGAAAACUGGCAGAAAACUUCCGGGGCUGAAGGAGGGGGCUGCGGCCCAUCAGGUAGUUGGUAGGGUAACGGCCUACCAAGCCAACGACGGGUAGGGGGCCUGAGAGGGUGACCCCCCACACUGGGACUGACAGACGGCCCAGACUCCUACGGGAGGCAGCAGUAAGGAAUAUUGCCCAAUGGACGAAAGUCUGAGGCAGCAACGCCGCGUGGAGGAAGAAGGGUUUCGGCUCGUAAACUCCUUUGGCUGGGGACGAGGAAGGACGGUACCCAGAGAACAAGUCACGGCUAACUACGUGCCAGCCGCCGCGGUAAUUC